CCUACGGGCGGCUGCAGUGGAGAAUUAUUCACAAUGGAGGCGACUCUGAUGGUGCGACGCCGCGUGGGGGAAUGCAGGUCUUCGGGUUGUAAACCGCUGUCAUUUGGGAGUAAAUUAAAAAGAUAGUACCACAAGUGGAAUAUACGGCUAACUCUGUGCCAGCAGCCGCGGUAAUACGGAGGUCUCGAGCGUUGUUCGGAAUCACUGGGCGUAAAGCGUGCGUAGGCUGUUUUGUAAGUCGUGUGUGAAAGGCGGGGGCUCAACCAGCGAACGGCACAUGAUACUGCGAGCCUUGAGUAAUGACAGGGGAACCGGAAGUCACGGUGUAGCAGUGAAAUGCGUAGAUAUCGAGAGGAACACUCGUGGCGAAGGCGGGUUCCUGGACAUUAACUGACGCUGAGGCACGAAGGCCAGGGGAGCGAAAGGGAUUAGAUACCCGAGUAGUC
rnacentral:rRNA from 1 species